AGGAAGGUGGGGAUGACGUCAAAGUCCUCAUGGCCUUUAUGACCAGGGCUACACACGUACUACAAUGGCCGAUACAAAGGGCAGCGACACUGCGAGGUGAAGCCAAUCCCGUAAAAUCGGUCUCAGUCCGGAUUGGAGUCUGCAACUCGACUCCAUGAAGUUGGAAUCGCUAGUAAUCGUGGAUCAGCAUGCCACGGUGAAUACGUUCCCGGGCCUU
rnacentral:rRNA from 1 species